rnacentral:rRNA from 1 species
UACGUAGGGGGCAAGCGUUGUCCGGAUUUAUUGGGCGUAAAGAGCGUGUAGGCGGCCAAACAGGUCAGCUGUGAAAACUCGAGGCUCAACCUCGAGACGUCGGUUGAAACCGUUUGGCUAGAGUCCGGAAGAGGAGAGUGGAAUUCCCGGUGUAGCGGUAAAAUGCGCAGAUAUCGGGAAGAACACCCGUGGCGAAGGCGGCUCUCUGGGACGGUACUGACGCUGAGACGCGAAAGCGUGGGGAGCGAACAGG